AUAAGUCUCAAGCGGGUCCAAAGAAAGAAGAAACCCGGAAGGACGCACACAAUGAAGCUUCAUAUGCAAGUGUGGUGAAGGUUCAACAGAAGCCAUGAUUUAAAGUGGAAAAUCAAGUUAACUGGAUGUUGUUAAAGACCUAUCAUCUAGCAUUUAAAGUUAAGGAGCAGUUUAGCCAUAGUUGAAUGGGGUUCUUCUAUGGCUUGGUGUGUCUUUUGUCCUUCCACAAGAUAUCUGGUCUAUGUACGACCAGAUGGGAGUGUU
rnacentral:lncRNA from 1 species